AGGCCAGGCCAGACCAGCCAGGGCCAGGCCUAGGCCUAGGCCUAGGCCCAGCCGCUUCUCGGUGCACUGGGAGCUCUCGCUUGGUCCAUGCUUAGAAGGAGCUUUAUUGCUGCCGCCAGCGCGACCUGCCCACGCCAGCCCGCUCCCUGGUAACUGCGGUGCCAGGCCACCUGUCUUUAGUGUGUGUGUCCCGGGAACCGGGGUGGCUAGGGCACAGGCCUGUUCCCGGGCUGUGCCUCCAGUCACGGUUGGGUGAUGCGCAGCGAAGCCCCCCGACACAGGCAUGCACACUGCACUGGGCUCGGGGAGCUCUGUCAACACACAGCCAGGUUUUACAGCUGUGCUUCCAGGGAAACGCUGCCCACCUUGAGCACUGCUGUCUGUGUUCCUGCCAUGCCCACAGCCUGUUUAACAGUCCAAACAUCAUCAUGUCCUGCCCUGUUGUUGCUGCAUGUAUGGUGUUUUCCACGGAGAAAGCACAUUUCCUGUCAUGGUGAAUGAGAGGCACAAUGGCAACCUGCUUGUGCACCUGGGACCCAAACUGCAGGCUUACCCGGAAGAGCUGCUCCGGCAGCGGCAAGGCC